UAGUGAGGCCUCCUGACUGGCGCCGAUACUCUGGCAACAGAGCGCCGGAUGCCGGAAAGUUGGUCAAACUUGAUCAUUUAGAGGAAGUAAAAGUCGUAACAAGGUUUCCGUAGGUGAACCUGCGGAAGGAUCAUUACCGAUACCACGUCCAAGAACGAAACAACCGUUUUGUUGUUCUUGCUCUGUGAACCGUACCUAACCAUCAGGGGUCGGCCAAGAGGCCGUUAAAUGGCGAUCGGACGCGUGCGCCUUGCUGUGCGCGCGCGGCCGCUUCGCCGGCCCCGCCUCGCGUUUUUCUCGCAAUGUACGUGUCUACUGUCUGAUGUCUGUGUGCGGCGCUCAGCCGAGCGCCCCACUUGCAAAGAAAAAAAUGAGAGACAACUUUUGACGGUGGAUCUCUUGGCUCACGCAUCGAUGAAGAACGCAGCCAGCUGCGAUAAGUAGUGUGAAUUGCAGAAUUCAGUGAAUCAUCGAAUCUUUGAACGCAAAUGGCGCUCUUGGGUUCUCCCAGGAGCAUGUCUGUCUGAGUGUCGGAUAUCAUCCAUCGCAGGGCGCGCUUGCCGCGCCCCUGCGGCGUUGAGGUCGUCACGGCCGCUUUAAAUGGUGGCCGUGUCCCUUGAAGGGCAGAGAGACGCCGCGGUUGUGGGUUAAUUUCUCGCAGCGCACCAGCGGAGGCUAAAGAGUUUACGGUCCUUCGCGCGCUGUCGGGUUGCCCGCCGCGGGUGUCGCCGAGGCGAAGCGUACAUAGCGUACAUACCUUCUUGACCUCAGAUCAGGCAAG
rnacentral:sRNA from 1 species